ACACGCAUGACACACUGCAUAUCAAUAAGCGGAGGAAAAGAAACUAACAAGGAUUCCCCUAGUAACGGCGAGUGAAGCGGGAAGAGCUCAAAUUUGAAAUCUUCAAGGGUUCUACCUUUACGAAUUGUAGUUUAUAAGAAGUGUUUUCUGUUAGUGGAGUUGGCUAAAAGUUCUUUGGAAUAGGACAUCAUAGAGGGUGAGAAUCCCGUACUUGGUACGUUCCUCCUAGCUGUUGUGAUACACUUUCAACGAGUCGGAUUGUUUGGGAAUGCAGUCCAAAAUGGGUGGUAAAUUUCAUCUAAAGCUAAAUAUUGGCGAGAGACCGAUAGCGAACAAGUACCGUGAGGGAAAGAUGAAAAGGAACUUUGAAAAGAGAGUUAAACAGUACGUGAAAUUGUCAAAAGGGAAGCGUUUGACACCAGUGUUGUUUUUCUCGGAAAUCAAUUACGAAUGUUUUAUUUUUGAGGAGUUAUGACUUCAUCGGCUUGCUCCUUUCUUUAUGAAACUUUCUUAAUGCACUUUUCGGUUAACAAGUCAACAUCAAUUUCUUUUGUUGUAAAAGGGUAUGAGGAAGGUGGCUUUCUUUUCGGAGAAAGUGUUUAUAGCCUUGUACCUCUGCAAUCGGAGAGAUUGAGGUCUGCAGCGUAGAUCCUUCGGGGUUAGAUACAUUUGUGCUAAGUUAUAGCUUUUCAUAGACAACUUGUUGACUAUGUUUAGUCUUGUAGCUUACUCGCUUAUGCUAUUUUACCUACGCUUAGGAUGUUGACUGAUAUGUAGUCGUA
rnacentral:rRNA from 1 species